AUUGAACGCUGGCGGCAGGCCUAACACAUGCAAGUCGAGCGGAGCGGCGGACGGGUGAGUAAUGCCUAGGAAUCUGCCUGGUAGUGGGGGAUAACGUCCGGAAACGGGCGCUAAUACCGCAUACUAUCAGAUGAGCCUAGGUCGGAUUAGCUAGUUGGUGGGGUAAAGGCCUACCAAGGCGACGAUCCGUAACUGGUCUGAGAGGAUGAUCAGUCAGACGGGCACUGAGACACGGUCCAGAUACCUGCGGGAGGCAGCAGUGGGGAAUAGGGGACAAUGGGCGAAAGCCUGACCCAGCCAUGCCGCGUGGGUGAAGAAGGUCUUCGGAUUGUAAAGAACUUUAAGUUGGGAGGCGUUACCAACAGAAUAAGCACCGGCUAACGUCGGGCCAGCAGCCGCGGUAAUUC
rnacentral:rRNA from 1 species